rnacentral:rRNA from 1 species
UACAGAGGGGGCAAGCGUUUGUUCGGAAUUACUGGGCGUAAAGGGCUCGUAGGCGGCCAACUAAGUCGGAUGUGAAAUCCCCAGGCUUAACCUGGGAACUGCAUCCGAUACUGGAUGGCUUGAAUCCAGGAGAGGUGAGUGGAAUUCCGAGUGUAGAGGUGAAAUUCGUAGAUAUUCGGAAGAACACCAGUGGCGAAGGCGGCUCACUGGCCCGAUACUGACGCUGAGGCACGAAAGCGUGGGGAGCAAACAGG